UACCAGUGUCGCUGCUGGAUCCCACUUCCCUAGUCGCGGCUUUCUCUCCCGGCGGGCACCGCGCGUGGGAUAACGGUUCCCGUGGAGGUUCCGGCGUGCACGGCCGGACUCGCGGCGGGCUGCGGCCCCGAAUGCGAGUUCUGAAACACUGGGUUCCAUGAAUGUGUUUGAUACAAAGCCACCCUGGCUCAAAGAGAAGUUGCCAGGGUCAGUUUUCUGUUCUAGCUUUUCUGGGGCACCGUCUUCUCCCAGAAAAAUGUAGCAUCCACAUGUAACUCCUAGAUUGAAAAGAAUCUUACACACAAGGACCUCUGAUGUUCCAUGAUGACCUGAUUUUCCCAGAAAAUGUAAAGGUUUCAACAUCUUGCUUCAAUAAAUCACUCAC